AGGAUGAACGCUGGCGGUCUGCUUAACACAUGCAAGUCGAACGGAGUACCUCGGUACUUAGUGGCGGACGGGUGAGUAACGCGUGAGAAUCUGCCCUUAGGUCGGGGACAACCAUUGGAAACGAUGGCUAAAUACCGGAUAAGCCGAGAGGUAAAAGAUUAAUUGCCUAGGGAAGAGCUCGCGUCUGAUUAGCUAGUUGGUGAGGUAAAGGCUCACCAAGGCAUCGAUCAGUAGCUGGUCUGAGAGGAUGAUCAGCCACACUGGGACUGAGACACGGCCCAGACUCCUACGGGAGGCAGCAGUGGGGAAUUUUCCGCAAUGGGCGAAAGCCUGACGGAGCAAGACCGCGUGAGGGAGGAAGGCUCUUGGGUUGUAAACCUCUUUUCUUGGGAAGAACAAAUGACGGUACCCAAGGAAUCAGCAUCGGCUAACUCCGUGCCAGCAGCCGC
rnacentral:rRNA from 1 species